UACGGGGGAUGCAAGCGUUAUCCGGAAUCAUUGGGCGUAAAGCGCCUGUAGGUUGUUUAAUAAGUCUGUUGUUAAAGGCUAGGGCUUAACCCUAGAAAUGCAAUGGAAACUACUAGACUUGAGUAUGGCAGGGGUAGAGGGAAUUUCUAGUGUAGCGGUGAAAUGCGUAGAUAUUAGAAAGAACACCGGUGGCGAAAGCGCUCUACUGGACCAUUACUGACACUCAGAGGCGAAAGCUAGGGUAGCAAAAGGGAUUAGAUACCCCUGUAGUCUUAGCCGUAAACGAUGGAUACUAGAUGUUGUGCUUUAAGUACAGUAUCGUAGCUAACGCGUUAAGUAUCCCGCCUGGGGAGUACGCUCGCAAGGGUG
rnacentral:rRNA from 1 species